rnacentral:tRNA from 1 species
CGGGGUGUAGCGAAGUCCGGUUAUCGCGCACGCUUUGGGAGCGUGAGAUCCCCGGUUCGAAUCCGGGCACCCCGA